rnacentral:rRNA from 1 species
AGUGGGAAACGAUGUGGGAAGGCUUAGACAGCUAGGAGGUUGGCUUAGAAGCAGCCACCCUUUAAAGAAAGCGUAAUAGCUCACUAGUCGAGUCGGCCUGCGCGGAAGAUGUAACGGGGCUCAAACCAUGCACCGAAGCUACGGGUAUCAUCUUAUGAUGAUGCGGUAGAGGAGCGUUCUGUAAGCCUGUGAAGGUGAGUUGAGAAGCUUGCUGGAGGUAUCAGAAGUGCGAAUGCUGACAUGAGUAACGACAAUGCGAGUGAAAAACUCGCACGCCGAAAGACCAAGGUUUCCUGCGCAACGUUAAUCGACGCAGGGUUAGUNUGAUGCGGUAGAGGAGCGUUCUGUAAGCCUGUGAAGGUGAGUUGAGAAGCUUGCUGGAGGUAUCAGAAGUGCGAAUGCUGACAUGAGUAACGACAAUGCGAGUGAAAAACUCGCACGCCGAAAGACCAAGGUUUCCUGCGCAACGUUAAUCGACGCAGGGUUAGUCGGUCCCUAAGGCGAGGCUGAAAAGCGUAGUCGAUGGAAAACAGGUUAAUAUUCCUGUACUUCCAGUUAUUGCGAUGGAGGGACGGAGAAGGUUAGGCCAGCCUGGCGUUGGUUGUCCAGGUUUAAGGUGGUAGGCUGGAAUCUUAGGCAAAUCCGGGAUUCUAAGGCCGAGAGCUGAUGACGAGUUGCCAUUAGGCGACGAAGUGGUUGAUACCAUGCUUCCAAGAAAAGCUCCUAAGCUUCAGAUAACUGGGAACCGUACCCCAAACCGACACAGGUGGUUAGGUAGAGAAUACCAAGGCGCUUGAGAGAACUCGGGUGAAGGAACUAGGCAAAAUGGCACCGUAACUUCGGGAGAAGGUGCGCCGGCGAGGGUCAAGGACUUGCUCCGUAAGCCCAUGCCGGUCGAAGAUACCAGGCCGCUGCGACUGUUUAUUAAAAACACAGCACUCUGCAAACACGAAAGUGGACGUAUAGGGUGUGACGCCUGCCCGGUGCCGGAAGGUUAAUUGAUGGGGUUAGCGCAAGCGAAGCUCUUGAUCGAAGCCCCGGUAAACGGCGGCCGUAACUAUAACGGUCCUAAGGUAGCGAAAUUCCUUGUCGGGUAAGUUCCGACCUGCACGAAUGGCGUAACGAUGGCGGCGCUGUCUCCACCCGAGACUCAGUGAAAUUGAAAUCGCUGUGAAGAUGCAGUGUAUCCGCGGCUAGACGGAAAGACCCCGUGAACCUUUACUAUAGCUUUGCACUGGACUUUGAAUUUGCUUGUGUAGGAUAGGUGGGAGGCUUUGAAGUGGGGACGCCAGUUCUCAUGGAGCCAUCCUUGAAAUACCACCCUGGCAACUUUGAGGUUCUAACUCAGGUCCGUUAUCCGGAUCGAGGACAGUGUAUGGUGGGUAGUUUGACUGGGGCGGUCUCCUCCCAAAGAGUAACGGAGGAGUACGAAGGUGCGCUCAGACCGGUCGGAAAUCGGUCGUAGAGUAUAAAGGCAAAAGCGCGCUUGACUGCGAGACACACACGUCGAGCAGGUACGAAAGUAGGUCUUAGUGAUCCGGUGGUUCUGUAUGGAAGGGCCAUCGCUCAACGGAUAAAAGGUACUCCGGGGAUAACAGGCUGAUACCGCCCAAGAGUUCAUAUCGACGGCGGUGUUUGGCACCUCGAUGUCGGCUCAUCACAUCCUGGGGCUGAAGCCGGUCCCAAGGGUAUGGCUGUUCGCCAUUUAAAGUGGUACGCGAGCUGGGUUUAGAACGUCGUGAGACAGUUCGGUCCCUAUCUGCCGUGGACGUUUGAGAUUUGAGAGGGGCUGCUCCUAGUACGAGAGGACCGGAGUGGACGAACCUCUGGUGUUCCGGUUGUCACGCCAGUGGCAUUGCCGGGUAGCUAUGUUCGGAAGAGAUAACCGCUGAAAGCAUCUAAGCGGGAAACUUGCCUCAAGAUGAGAUCUCACUGGGAUCUUGA